UGGGGAAUAUUGCACAAUGGGCGCAAGCCUGAUGCAGCCAUGCCGCGUGUGUGAAGAAGGCCUUCGGGUUGUAAAGUACUUUCAGCGGGGAGGAAGGGAGUAAAGUUAAUACCUUUGCUCAUUGACGUUACCCGCAGAAGAAGCACCGGCUAACUCCGUGCCAGCAGCCGCGGUAAUACGGAGGGUGCAAGCGUUAAUCGGAAUUACUGGGCGUAAAGCGCACGCAGGCGGUUUGUUAAGUCAGAUGUGAAAUCCCCGGGCUCAACCUGGGAACUGCAUCUGAUACUGGCAAGCUUGAGUCUCGUAGAGGGGGGUUGAAUUCCAGGUGUAGCGGUGAAAUGCGUAGAGAUCUGGAGGAAUACCGGUGGCGAAGGCGGCCCCCUGGACGAAGACUGACGCUCAGGUGCGAAAGCGUGGGGAGCAAACAGG
rnacentral:rRNA from 1 species